rnacentral:lncRNA from 1 species
AACAGACGUCCAGAUUUCUACAUCUUGAAAGUUCUUCAAAAGGAAGUACUUUUGCUACAUACAAACAACACGACGAGCCUUUUCAGCGCACACUGGCAUCAUGCUCUGACAGAAGAACUACAUCAGCAAAGAAAGUUGAUCUAUGGAAGAAAUUACAGCCGGAACCUGGCAGCUCACCUCCCUCAGCCGCAGCUGCACAAAGGCAGGAGAUCCACUGAACUACCAGAACCACGGGCCCAGAUUUGGAAUCCAAAAGCAACGCAAACUGGGCAGCUUGCAGGUUUCAGACCAACCUCCUCUCCCCCCUUACCCACCUUACCAGCCACCGUGGCACCCUGUGCUGCGACGGCAGCGCCAGCACGAGAUUCAGCUCCUGCAGAGAGGAAAUGUUCUCAGCUGUACCACGCAGCGUGCAGGAGAACAAGACGAAGAGCCCCCAGUGCUGCUGCCGUUAGAAUGACUUCAGCGGGAUUAGGCAGAGCUAUGGAGGGAAAGCCCCACACAAUGAGUCCUUUCAUAGAGCAGAAACAAAACCUAACGCUAAUCACACCAGCGAUUCAGUUUCCUCUCCUAAUUCCUAAUCAGACAUCAACAAAUAAAAGCGAAACACUUAUUCUUAUUUUAAUUCUGGGAAAUAAACACAAGUGAAUGGAAGCGCUCAGCCCGCACCGUCAGAGCUCUGCAGCCCCUUUACCUCCCCAUGAAUGCACGGGCAGCUCAGCCUGCUCACACCGCCUGCUCGCAGAGGGGUCUGGGAUGGGAGAUCCAGGGAAGAGCAGCGUUAACAAGCGGGAGAAACUUCAAAGCCUGGAGACAAACUCAGCUGAAACACUCCUCCGUACAAAAAGGACCUUGAACCACAGCCAUUAGAAAAAACAUCUGGUGCGCCGCUUUGAUUUUCAAUGUUAGUCAUUGGACAGAAACAAAACAUCAUUAUUUUUUCCCCCCAAAGCAGUAAAUAAUUGCAAAUCCACUUCUACAUGUAACCUAUCAUUUAUCACCUCAUCAGCGACUGCUUGAGUCUGAUGGAAUUAAACACUCAAGUCAGGCAGUUUUUGUUAAAAGCAAUAAUUACAUUGUUACUAGAAUAUACAAUUAGGUAAUAAAAAACAAAAACAAAUCUGCCUGGCA